rnacentral:rRNA from 1 species
AGUGAACGCUGGCGGUAGGCCUAACACAUGCAAGUCGAACGGCAGCACAGUAAGAGCUUGCUCUUACGGGUGGCGAGUGGCGGACGGGUGAGGAAUACAUCGGAAUCUACUUUUUCGUGGGGGAUAACGUAGGGAAACUUACGCUAAUACCGCAUACGACCUACGGGUGAAAGCAGGGGAUCUUCGGACCUUGCGCGAUUGAAUGAGCCGAUGUCGGAUUAGCUAGUUGGCGGGGUAAAGGCCCACCAAGGCGACGAUCCGUAGCUGGUCUGAGAGGAUGAUCAGCCGCACUGGAACUGAGACACGGUCCAGACUCCUACGGGAGGCAGCAGUGGGGAAUAUUGGACAAUGGGCGCAAGCCUGAUCCAGCCAUACCGCGUGGGUGAAGAAGGCCUUCGGGUUGUAAAGCCCUUUUGUUGGGAAAGAAAAGCAGCAGGUUAAUACCCCGCUGUUCUGACGGUACCCAAAGAAUAAGCACCGGCUAGCUUCGUG